CGAAAUGCGAUAAGUAAUGUGAAUUGCAGAAUUCAGUGAAUCAUCGAAUCUUUGAACGCACAUUGCGCCCGCCAGUAUUCUGGCGGGCAUGCCUGCCCGAGCGUCAUUUCAACCCUCGGGCCCCCCCCUUUUCCCCUCGCGGGGGAGGGGGCGGGC
rnacentral:rRNA from 1 species